GAUGAACGCUGGCGGCGUGCCUAAUACAUGCAAGUCGAGCGAACAGAUGAGGAGCUUGCUCCUCUGACGUUAGCGGCGGACGGGUGAGUAACACGUGGAUAACCUACCUAUAAGACUGGGAUAACUUCGGGAAACCGGAGCUAAUACCGGAUAAUAUAUUGAACCGCAUGGUUCAAUAGUGAAAGACGGUUUUGCUGUCACUUAUAGAUGGAUCCGCGCCGCAUUAGCUAGUUGGUAAGGUAACGGCUUACCAAGGCAACGAUGCGUAGCCGACCUGAGAGGGUGAUCGGACACACUGGAACUGAGACACGGUCCAGACUCCUACGGGAGGCAGCAGUAGGGAAUCUUCCGCAAUGGGCGAAAGCCUGACGGAGCAACGCCGCGUGAGUGAUGAAGGUCUUCGGAUCGUAAAACUCUGUUAUUAGGGAAGAACAAAUGUGUAAGUAACUAUGCACGUCUUGACGGUACCUAAUCAGAAAGCCACGGCUAACUACGUG
rnacentral:rRNA from 1 species